CCCUGCCGCUGGGACACGCUGCCGCCAGGUGCGCCGGGGACUUAGGCAGUGCCGCGACGCACGGCCCGCGCCGGUUUCCAAGGUGAAGGAGGAGGAGCCUCUGAGGGAAAGUUUCCACAGAAACUUGAGCUGGGCGCAGUGUAGCGCUCGCGCCCUUGGGGGCUAGCGUAUGGCCGGACCUACACACUCUUUCUUUACUCACGCACGCACACCGCCGUACACAGCACAAUCGUUCACCGUCCCGCCAAAGGCUCGACUCUCGGGUUCUGCCUAGUGGAAGGAGUGGACAACGCCGCACGUCACGGGCGUUUCGGAUUUCUUGCUUCCCAAAGGUUUGACGGCGGCCACCGGCGCCCCGGCCCAGCUCUGCUUUCCUUUGCUGACUCCUUCCUUGAGGUGUGAAUUUUAAAAUGCUGAUACCGCCCCAAGAGAGCUGAGUCAAGUGAGGCAAACGUUCGCCUGUUGUUCUCCUGACAGACUCCCUGCAGUGGGCAGGGGAUAUGUGGCCUUGGCCGACAUUGAAGUGCCAGGAUGGAGGGAGGGGGCCUGCUGAUUUGUUCUGUUUUACUUUUUAAGGGUAACUAGAGCGUUACUGGAGUCGUCUGUAGGUUUGGGGAGUAUGUGGCGCGUGUGUGUGUCACACAUUUAACUGGCAACUCCCGCCAACCCCUUCCCAAGAAAUGAAGGCUCUAAUGUGGGCAGUUCUACAACAAAGGUGAAACUUCCCCAAAUCACGAUUCCCCGCAAGAUGAGAGAGCAGGUGCAGCAUCCGUUUCCCCACUACCACGCUUGAGAUGGUGGCUUUGGGCACUGCCCGGUGCCCCGACAUCCUUCCCAGAGCCCAGCCUUCCCACCCAGGCCUGGCCCUGCGCGGCCGCCUGCCUUUGCAUCAGAGACCGCGGCUGUGCCAUUGCCAAGCUGGGCAGCGCCGCCUCGCUUCCCCAUUCCUCCGUCUCCCACACCUCUUGCGUGUUUGAGUCGCGAAGUGAUGGACUUUAAAUCUCAGAGGAGGAAUGAGAAACUUGGUUAGUGGCUCUCUUGGCAUGUUCGUAGCCCUGUGGUUGAAGUGGCUGAAACCUGCGUUAAGCCUCAGUCCAAGCAGCUGGGGCCACACCAGUUUGCAAAGGCGGAUGUGGCAAUUUUCCACCGCAGCAGCAGCCUGCUGGCGCCUCAUCAGAUUCUCCUUUGGAGGAAGUAUCUUCUUCCCUUCAUUCUCGGUGAAUGGCAUCCAGAGAUAACCAAAAUCAGGUGUAUCUAGUUUCAAGUUCUGUCUUGCAACCGUGAUAAUUGGAGGAUGCAAACUUUACACUUUCUUCUCUAGCUGUCUACCACCACUGCUGCGCUUGUGGAUGACUGCAGGAACAGGGGUACUUGCCACAAGUAUCUCUCCAGAUUCAUCAGCCUUUCACCUGUGACAAGCGCAGUCAAGAAGUGGCUCCUAAGUAAGAGCUGGGGAAGAACAAGGAAGAUAGAGCUCAGAGUAGAAAGCUGUGAAGUUCUGCACAACAGGUCCCCUUGGCCUGCUCUAACAGUUGGAAUGUGGUGGAAGCAUUCAUUUACUCAACGAAUAUAUACUGAGUGCCUUUUGCAUGCUAGGCACGCUUCUAGGGGUUGAGGACACAGCAGAGAGCACAAACAACAAUUCCAGCCCUCAUGGAGCUUACCUCUUCCAGGUGGGAAAGACAGAUGGUAAAUGUAUAAGGACAAUAUAUGGACUGCUGUAUGAUUAGAAAUGCUAUGGAGAGGCUAGGAGUGCUGUCUCAUGCCUGUAAUCCCACAGUUUGGGAGGCCAAAGGAGGAGGAUCGCUUGAGGCCAGAAGUUGGAGACCCAACCUUGGCAACAUAACAGGCAUGGUAGCUCAUGUGGAAGCUUCCCGAGGCCCUCACCCAGAAGCAGAUGCUGGAGCCAUGCUUGUACAGCUUGCAGAACUAAAGCCCAGCUGGCUUUGUUCCAUGGAUCUUUGCCCUUCUUUCCAUCCACUUCUUCCUGCUUGGACAUUGGUUACCUGGAGAAGCAGAAGCCAUUUUGAGAUGAUGAAAGCAAAAGUUAAAUGUAUGAGAUGAUGGUGCAGAAAGCCAGAAGGGGCCUCCAGAACACUGAGCUUUGUGGAGUCGUGUACCAUGGCUGUAUUGCCCACCUCUGAACUUCCUGCUGAGAUAAAAAACAAUCCUUAUGUGUUUAUACUACUUUUAUUUCAGUUUCUUUUAAGUAUAGCAAACACAUUCCAAAUAAUAUGCAUAUGAAGUUUUUGGUUUUGUUUUUAAAUUUUUUUUCUAGGGAUGGGUUCUGGCUGCGUAGUGGCUAGAGUGUAGUGGCUAUUCUUAGGUGCAGUCAUAGCUCACUACAGCCUCUAACUGGCCUCAAGCAAUCCUCCCACCACAGCUUCCAGGGCAGCUGGGAUUACAGGAGAGCACCACACUGAAGUUUCUGUUAAAUAGAAUGUUUGCUAUAGAUUUUUAGUUGAUGUCCUCUGUUAGGUUGAAAACCUUCCUUUAUUUUCUUGUGAAAUUUCUAAGAGAUUUUUAAAUCAUUAACUGGUAUUGAACUUUAUAAAAUGAUUUUUCUGUGUCUGAGAUGAUCAUGUGAUUAUUUUUCCUGUUUAUGUCCCUUGAUGUGAUGAUUUUUAUUGUAGAUCUUCCUUUAUUGAACCAAAUUUACGUUAUUUAUAUUAACCCUAUUUGAUUGUAAUAUAUUUUUAGUAGGGUAUUAGACUCUGUUACCUAACAUUUUACUUAGCAUUAUUUUGCAUCUAUGUUCAUAAGUAAAAUAGGCCUUUUUUUCUUUAUGUGACUAGGUAUCAACAUUAUAUUGGCAUUAUAAAUUAUGUUGAACACUUUGCCUACUUUUUCUGUUUUUCCAGAGCAACUUGUAUCGUAGGAAUCAUCAGGCAAUAAGAUGCAGGGAAAACUCUGGAUACUGCAUACCAAAAGUUGAAUACAUUUUUCUUAUUUUUGAAACUUUUAAUACACAUAAAGACAAGUGCACAUAUUAUAAGUAUAUAGUUCAGUUUAUUUCGACAAACUGAAUAAACCCAUGUAAUCAGCACCCAGAUCAGGAAACAGAAUCUGGAAGCUUCCUUGUGUCCCCUUCCAAUCACUAUUUCCCCUCAAAGUUAAUCCUGACUUCUAACUGCAUAGAUUUGUCUUGUCUAUUUUUGUACUUUAUAUAACUAGAAUAAUAGAAUAGAUACUCUUUUGUAUCUGUCUCUCUGGUUCUUAUUUGUAAGAUUCAUCCAUAUUGUUGAUGUUGAUGUGCUUAUGGGUAGUUUAUUAUUUGCUGUAUAUAAUAUUUCAUUUGGUAAAUACUCCAUGAAUUAGUUGUCCGUUACUACUUAUAAGUGUACAGCUCAGCUUAUUUCCACAAGCCAAAUAGACCCAUGUAAUUGAUGGUUGUUUGGUGACAGAGAGAAGGGUUUUUUUUUAAAUCUUUUAAAAUGCAUGACGGGGAAGUAGAAUUACUUAAGUAUUAAAAAAACAGUAAGAAGGGGGAAAUUAAAAUGGUGUAGCUACUUUGGAAAACAGUCUGAUAGUUCCUGAAAUAAUUAAACAUAGGGUUACUAUAUGACCCAGCAAUUGCACUCAUAGGCAUAUAUGCAAGACAAAACAUGUCCACACAAAAACUUGUACAUAAAUAUUCAUAGUAGCAUUAGCCACAAUAUCUAAAGGGUGAAAAUAAUCCAGAUGUCCAACAACUGAUGAAUGGUUAAACAAAAUGUGGUAUAUCCAUAUAAUGGAAUAUUAUUUGGCCAUAAAAAGGAAUGAAGUGGCCAGGCACCAUGGCUCACACCUAUAAUCUAGCGCUUUGGGAGGCUGAAGCGGGUGGAUCACUUGAGGUCAGGAGUUCAAAACUAGCCCGGCCAACAUGGUAAAAUGCUGUCUCUACUAAAAAUCCAAAAAAAUAUUAGCCAGGUGUGGUGGCAGGUCCCUGUAAUCCCAGCUACUUGGGAGGCUGAGGCAGGUGAAUUGCUUGAACCUGGGAAGCAAAGAUUGCAGUGAGCCAAGAUUGUGCCACUAUACUCCAUCCUGGGUGACAGAGCGAGACUCCAUCUCAAAAAAAAGGAAUGAAAUAUUAAUAGGAUAUACACUGCAAUAUGGAUGAAGCUUGAAAAUAUCAUGUUACAUAAAAGAAGCCAGGUAUGAAAGAUAUUAUUGUAUGGUUCCAUUUAUAUGAAAUGUCCAGAAUCAAAAUAGACAAAUUCAUACAGGCAGAAAGAGACUUGGGCGGUUAGAGUUAAAGAGGGGAAUGGGGCAUGACUGCUAAUGGAUACAGGGUUUCUUUCUGGUGUCAUGAAAAUGCUCUGGAAUUAGAUAGUAAUGAUGGUUCUACAUGUAAAUAUACUAAAACCACUCAAUGCAUACUUUUAAAAAGAUGACUUUUACAGCAUAUGAAAUAUCUGUCCAUUUUUUUUAAAGGAAAGUAGAAUAAAAGAGUGCCAGAGCUGGCACUUGUCUGGAAAUUAUCCACUGAUCCCUGGUGGCCUACAGCCUGGGUUACAAUGGGUUAUAAAUGAAGGGAAAGGAGACAAACCUUUAGAGGAAGACACUAGGAGAAGGGGGGUGGCAAUGGAAUCCGCAGAGGAAGACAGUGAAGAUAUGUGCCUUUUUGAGCCUUGGCCCUGGGUGGAAUGAUUUAAAAAAAAAGUUUCCCCUGAAAAUCACUAACUCCACACCUAAUUUGGAGCCAAAAUUAAUAUUAUCUAUGUGGUCCAAAAAUACUCCAAAAGUUUAGAUCAGAUGGGUCCUGGAUUGGUUGUACCUCUAGGUGCCUAGCCGGCACAACAAACACAAAUCCUGUUGAGGAAUGCAUUUUAAAUCCAGGCUUCAAAGCAUUGCCACAGAUAAAUAUGCAAAGAAAUUGAAUAUUAUAAUUUCCCUUUGGAUUUCAGUUUAAUCCUGGGUGUUUUAGAAAUUUUUUAUUGACAGAGCUGUUUAAAUCUACCUGUUUAUUAUUAACUAUUCCAGUGUUUUUGGUUUUGUUUUUUUUUUUUUGAGAUGGAGUCUUGCUCUGUCGCCCAGGCUGGAGUGCAGUGGCGCUAUCUCGGCUCACUGCAGGCUCCGCCCCCCAGGGUUCAUGCCAUUCUCCUGCCUCAGCCUCCCGAGUAGCUGGGACUACAGGCGCCCGCCACCUUGCCCAGCUAAUUUUUUGGUAUUUUUAGUAGAGACGGGGUUUCACCAUGUUAGCCAGGAUGGUCUCGAUCUCCUGACCUCGUGAUCCACCUGCCUCGGCCUCCCAAAGUGCUGGGAUUACAGGCGUGAGCCACCGCGCCUGGCCAACUAUUCUAGUGUUUUGUUGUCAGAGAACAUACUCUGUUGUGAUGCUAAUUAUUUGGAGUUUAUAGAGGCUCUUUUGUAACCUAGUCCAUAAUCAAUUAAUAUAAA